GAGUUUGAUUAUGGCUCAGGAUGAACGCUAGCGAUAGGCUUAACACAUGCAAGUCGAGGGGCAGCAUGAACUUAGCUUGCUAAGUUUGAUGGCGACCGGCGCACGGGUGCGUAACGCGUAUGCAACUUGCCUUACAGAGGGGGAUAACCCGUUGAAAGACGGACUAAUACCGCAUAUACUUAUUCGGUUGCAUGACCGGGCAAGGAAAUAUUUAUAGCUGUAAGAUAGGCAUGCGUCCCAUUAGCUGGUUGGUGAGGUAACGGCUCACCAAGGCAACGAUGGGUAGGGGAACUGAGAGGUUUAUCCCCCACACUGGUACUGAGACACGGACCAGACUCCUACGGGAGGCAGCAGUGAGGAAUAUUGGUCAAUGGGCGAGAGCCUGAACCAGCCAAGUCGCGUGAAGGAAGACUGUCCUAAGGAUUGUAAACUUCUUUUAUACGGGAAUAACGGGCGAUACGCGUAUUGCUAUG
rnacentral:rRNA from 1 species